GAUGAACGCUGGCGGCGUGCCUAAUACAUGCAAGUCGAGCGAACGGACGAGAAGCUUGCUUCUCUGAUGUUAGCGGCGGACGGGUGAGUAACACGCGGAUAACCUACCUAUAAGACUGGGAUAACUUCGGGAAACCGGAGCUAAUACCGGAUAAUAUUUUGAACCGCAUGGUUCAAAAGUGAAAGACGGUCUUGCUGUCACUUAUAGAUGGAUCCGCGCUGCAUUAGCUAGUUGGUAAGGUAACGGCUUACCAAGGCAACGAUGCAUAGCCGACCUGAGAGGGUGAUCGGCCACACUGGAACUGAGACACGGUCCAGACUCCUACGGGAGGCAGCAGUAGGGAAUCUUCCGCAAUGGGCGAAAGCCUGACGGAGCAACGCCGCGUGAGUGAUGAAGGUCUUCGGAUCGUAAAACUCUGUUAUUAGGGAAGAACAUAUGUGUAAGUAACUGUGCACAUCUUGACGGUACCUAAUCAGAAAGCCACGGCUAACUACGUGCCAGCAGCCGCGGUAAUACGUAGGUGGCAAGCGUUAUCCGGAAUUAUUGGGCGUAAAGCGCGCGUAGGCGGUUUUUUAAGUCUGAUGUGAAAGCCCACGGCUCAACCGUGGAGGGUCAUUGGAAACUGGAAAACUUGAGUGCAGAAGAGGAAAGUGGAAUUCCAUGUGUAGCGGUGAAAUGCGCAGAGAUAUGGAGGAACACCAGUGGCGAAGGCGACUUUCUGGUCUGUAACUGACGCUGAUGUGCGAAAGCGUGGGGAUCAAACAGGAUUAGAUACCCUGGUAGUCCACGCCGUAAACGAUGAGUGCUAAGUGUUAGGGGGUUUCCGCCCCUUAGUGCUGCAGCUAACGCAUUAAGCACUCCGCCUGGGGAGUACGACCGCAAGGUUGAAACUCAAAGGAAUUGACGGGGACCCGCACAAGCGGUGGAGCAUGUGGUUUAAUUCGAAGCAACGCGAAGAACCUUACCAAAUCUUGACAUCCUUUGACAACUCUAGAGAUAGAGCCUUCCCCUUCGGGGGACAGAGUGACAGGUGGUGCAUGGUUGUCGUCAGCUCGUGUCGUGAGAUGUUGGGUUAAGUCCCGCAACGAGCGCAACCCUUAAGCUUAGUUGCCAUCAUUAAGUUGGGCACUCUAAGUUGACUGCCGGUGACAAACCGGAGGAAGGUGGGGAUGACGUCAAAUCAUCAUGCCCCUUAUGAUUUGGGCUACACACGUGCUACAAUGGACAAUACAAAGGGCAGCGAAACCGCGAGGUCAAGCAAAUCCCAUAAAGUUGUUCUCAGUUCGGAUUGUAGUCUGCAACUCGACUACAUGAAGCUGGAAUCGCUAGUAAUCGUAGAUCAGCAUGCUACGGUGAAUACGUUCCCGGGUCU
rnacentral:rRNA from 1 species